UACCAGCACCCCGAGUGGUCGGGACGAUUAUUGGGCCUAAAGCAUCCGUAGCCGGUUUUACAAGUCCUCCGUUAAAUCCAGCUGCUUAACGGAUGGGCUGCGGAGGAUACCGCAGAGCUAGGAGGCGGGAGAGGCAAACGGUACUCAGUGGGUAGGGGUAAAAUCCAUUGAUCUACUGAAGACCACCAGUGGCGAAGGCGGUUUGCCAGAACGCGCUCGACGGUGAGGGAUGAAAGCUGGGGGAGCAAACCGG
rnacentral:rRNA from 1 species